UACGUAGGGGGCUAGCGUUGUCCGGAAUCAUUGGGCGUAAAGAGCGCGUAGGCGGCCAGAUAAGUCCGGUGUGAAAGUCACAGGCUCAACCUGUGAAUGCCGCUGGAAACUGUCUGGCUAGAGUCCGGAAGGGGCGAGUGGAAUUCCUGGUGUAGCGGUGAAAUGCGCAGAUAUCAGGAGGAACACCGGUGGCGAAGGCGGUUCUCUGGGCCUGUACUGACGCUGAGGAGCGAAAGCGUGGGGAGCGAACAGG
rnacentral:rRNA from 1 species